rnacentral:rRNA from 1 species
UGAGGAAUAUUGGUCAAUGGACGAGAGUCUGAACCAGCCAAGUAGCGUGCAGGAUGACGGCCCUAUGGGUUGUAAACUGCUUUUAUAGGGGGAUAAAGUGUGCCACGUGUGGCAUAUUGCAGGUACCCUAUGAAUAAGGACCGGCUAAUUCCGUGCCAGCAGCCGCGGUAAUACGGAAGGUCCGGGCGUUAUCCGGAUUUAUUGGGUUUAAAGGGAGCGUAGGCCGUUUGGUAAGCGUGUUGUGAAAUGUCGGGGCUCAACCUGGGCAUUGCAGCGCGAACUGCCAGACUUGAGUGCGCAGGAAGUAGGCGGAAUUCGUCGUGUAGCGGUGAAAUGCUUAGAUAUGACGAAGAACUCCGAUUGCGAAGGCAGCCUGCUGUAGCGCAACUGACGCUGAAGCUCGAAAGCGUGGGUAUCGAACA